AUACUAAAAAAGCACACACAUAUAUAUAAUAUAUAUUUUAUUGAUAUGCAUAACACAAUUCAAGAGGCAGUCUUCACAAGACACAUACAAAAGAAACAACAACAUAAGCCAACAUGCAUACACAACAACAUCAUUAUUCAAACAUCACACUUAUUUAAUUAUAAAGGUGACCACUUAGUUAAGCCAACCCCAAAAGGUUGCACUAAGCCAUUGUACUUCUUCAAUUCUUUCGAGCGGCCCUUACUUUGGAAAGAUUAG